CCUAAAUACCCUUAUUAUUAAAAAAUAAACUUUAAUUCAAUAACCACCUUCAAUCCAAACACACAUCUUCUUUCUCAUAUUUAGAUUCAUCUUCAAUUCAAACACACCUCUUCUUCCUAAUUCUUCACCACCACCACCAUCUCCACCUUUCACCACCACCACCAUCCACCUUUCACCACCGUACCCCACCCUUCACUCCGAAAUGCCGCUACCUCGUUAGUCGUAUUCCCCACUGGCUCAGUGGGUCAAGUCCCCAACUGCUUAGCCUGUUCAGAGUUAGUGUGGUCCACCGGUUGUUCCAUGGGUGGCUCAUCAGAAUAAGACGAUGCUAUAUCUGGGUUUGAUUCAGAACGAAUAGAAGAAGCUCGAAAUUGGCAAAAACAAGAAGUUGUUAAAAGGGGUGUUCUUGAAAAUGGUUUUGGAGAGAACGACAUAAAGGAGAGACCUUGAUGGUUUCCAUGGUGUUUUAAUCUGUGGAAGAAGAACCCUGAACAUGAACCCAGAAAUUGUAUGUGUCUGAGCAUUAUUUGAAUGAAUUUUACUUGAAAUCUUGGAGGAAUCUUGAAUGUUGAUUCUUCUGUUAAGGUUUUGAUUUUUUGAAGAAGGGUUUGGUAAUACCCUGAGUGGAUUUUGUUUAUCAUUUUCUAGAGUUCCACAAAAACUUAUACAAUCAAAAAUGUAUAAGUUCUUCAAUUCGUUCAGAGUCAAUGAUUCAUUAGACUUCUUAUAGAUUGUCGCCUCCAAACAUGUUGCCACAAGUUCUUCAAUUCGUUCUUCCUAACAGGCUUGACCAGAAAGAAGCACCUCUCAAACAUACACUUAUACACUUGAAGUGGUCGCUAGAAUAACGGGGUAGCGGCAAUUCAGAGUGAAGGGCGGGGUACGGUGGCGAAAGGUGGAUGGUGGUGGUGAAAGGUGGAGAUGGUGGUGGUGGUGGUCGUGAAGAAUUAGGAAGAAGAGGUGUGUUUGGAUUGAAGAUGAAUCUGAAUAUGAGGAAGAAGAUAUGUGUUUGGAUUGAAGGUGGUUAUUGAUUUAAAGUUUAUUUUUUAAUAGUAAGGGUAUUUAGGUCAUUGCACACCCACUUAACUGAAAAGACUAAUCUCCAUUCGCGUCAGGGACCAUCCGGAAACGAAAUUGAAAAAGCUGGAGACUAUA